GUUUUUUCUUCACACACGUCGUCUGCGAUAAAAUUUUGUUGGUGACAGAAUUUAUGUAAAUUUUGAAUCGGAGAUACGGAGACCAGCUGCGUGGCAGCAAGAGCAAAUGUUUGUUGUGAUGAGGCGUAUACCACCAUCACCAACGCUGCAAUUGCAGUCACCACCACCAAUGAUGGUCCACCACUUCUGCCACCACCAUCAGUUCUGCGAAUGCCACCACCACCACCAAGUCUGCUUCUGCCAUCGCCAUUGCCACCGCCACUACCAAGAUCAUUCCUGACACAAAGCCUCCAAGUCCUCAACUGACCAGCUAUUGCAGCUGGAGAAGGAUAGACCCGCAACUUCAAAGUCAGGGCUUGCUGGUCUCCUACAAUAAGAAAAGUGCCUGGGGCCAAUCUGAUGAACGUGUACUUGUAGCACAAUAUUUGGCCACAGUUGUAGAAAUACAGAGACUAACAUGCAGCCACAGGUGAGGCUUUGUCCGCAUUUCCAGAAAGACACAAGAUAGUAUCAGAAAGCCAUGCCAAAUUCAAGGACUGAAGGGUUUGGAGAGCCAGACAAAGAGCCUAGAAAUGUGAUUUAACCCGUACUUCAAUCACAUGAACAGCAGCAGGAGCAAAAACAGCAUCAACCACACAGGAGAUGUAACGACAGCAUUGACCAACAGCAACAACAACAGCAGCGUAAACAAUUUCUGCAGGAGGUGCAAAAACCACACCGGCAACCUCAACAAUAUCAAGAUGUCCAACAACCACUCCGGGAACAGCAACCACAACUUCAGCAAGAGUUUCAACAAACACAUCAGCAAAAACCAACAGCAGCAGCAACAACAGCACUUAUGAAAUGAAUUUUAUUGAAACUCAAAAGCCAAUGAGGAAACAUCUUUUACAAAAUGAGACAUCAUUUGUUCAUUCUUUUACAGGAUAAAGAAAAGCUUUUUUGAAAGUGUAAAUUUGCAGGAACACAAUGUAUGUUCCCUAUGAAUCUAUUUAUAGAAAAAAUUGACUUUAAAAAGAAUGAAUGGUGAUUCAAUAAAUAUCUACUUUUUAUUUGUCAAUGAGUAAAAAUACAUGUAUUUUCUAUUUAGAAUGACAAAAAGCAAUUUAUCAAAUCAAAAUCACAAAAAAAUUGACCAAUAUGGCUCUUAGGCCCUCAAAAUUGUUGGUAUUUUGAUGAAAAAGCUGUUUCUGCGGCAAUAUUUGACACAGCUCAAAUAGCUGCGUCAAAUUUGCCACAGAAAUUGUCAUUUGACGCAGCUCCUUGAGCUGCGUCAAAUAUUGCCGCUGAAAUUGUCAUUUGCCGCAGAAAGUAUCUGCGGCAAAGUUUUAUGAAACGGAAACUUGACGCUGUUUUGAGAUUUGCCGCAGAAACACAGAUUUGCCGCAGAAAAUGGGAGUUGCCGCUGCGGCAAAUGUUUUAUGAAACGGGCCCCAGAUCUUACUUUUUCGUCUCCAAGUGCUUACAAAACAAUAAAAGUGACGAAGCAGAAACGCUGUUCUCUCAAUGGGGCUCCAAAAUGGGCGAAUUUUCCAAGAGAAGGGCAAAAUACGAAAAAGAGAAGUGACUCUGGCAGCCCCCUGAGGGGGUAGGCUCGAAGCCAGCACUUUGUUAUAUGUAUAGCAGAUAGAGGAAAUACGACCCUUUUGUUUCCAAGUGGUUUCAAAGUAAUAAAAGUGACUUUAUCACAUAGCAGAAACGAAUUAUGACUCAAUUGGGGCUCCAGAAUGGCAGAUUUUCCAAUAAAUAGGUAAAAUACCGAAAAAAGGGUGGGUGGUUUUGCUAGCCCCUUGCGGAAGUAGGCUUUGCUGUGCCAGCACUUCUUUAUAUGUAGCUGAUGGAGGAAAAUCUACUUUUUAUCUCCAAGUGGUUAAAAAACAAUAAAAGUGGUUUACUGCAAAGGAGAAACCCCUUUUGCCUCAAUGGGGCUCAAAAAUUGCGAAUUUUCCAAGAAAUGGGCAAAAUACGAAAAAGGCGUUGGGUGACUUCGGCAGCCCCCUGAGGGGGUAGGCUUUGCUGUGCCCUCACUUCUUUAUGUAUAGCUGAUAGAAAAAGCCUACUCUUCCGUCUCCAAGUGAUUUCCAGAAUAUAAAAGUUGUUUUUCUUCACCAUUUUGGUACAUUGGGGGCUCCAAAAAGCAAGAUAUUUCAAUAAUCAAGCUACGGAUAAGGGUGGUGAAUCUUCAACAGGCUCUUGUGAGACUAUGCUUUAAUGUGUCCGAACGUAAUUGCAUGCAACAUCCAGACUGAUGACUCCUCUAACUUUUCCAAGAGGUUUCAUCAACAUAAAAGUUGCUUUAAUAUGUAGAAAACGCCUUUUGCCCUCACACCAAUACAUGUAAUACACCUUUCUAUCGCUAGGCACAUUAUAUGGACUUCUGCGUCAACAAAGGCGAGGCAAGACCGAUUUAGGCUAUUGUACUCUCUUGAAAUGCAUGCCAGCGAUCGCAUUGUAGUCGAUAUCGAUAGCGUGACUAAGAUACGGAGGUUGCUUUUUGGUGUCAUUUUAUCGUAAUAUCGAAUAUUACAUUUCGAGGUAUUUUCCCUUUAUCUAAGCAAAUUAAAUAAACAUAAAUUCUGUCAUGAAGCAUAUCAGUAUUCUCGUUAAUAUAAUCUUCUUUCGUGUCGAAUGCUGAUAUUUUGCAUUUGUUGUUGUUAAUGCAAAUUUUGGCAUAAAUUAUCAUAAUUUUCAAAAAAAUAUUAACCGGACUGUCCAGAAAACGAUUGCAAUCGAUUUCUACUAUCUAAAUCUUAGUGUAAAGCGUAUUCAUUUCACAUUUUCCGUUUGUAUGUGCAAAGAAAUAUGAAAAUAAUUGAUUUUCAUGAAAAAUCAAAGAUGGCAGACAAAAUUGCCAAUUUUGAACCCCGUGGGACACAAUUUUGCAAAGGGAACAUCAAAAUUCAUUAACUUGACACUUCAGUCAAUACAAAAAUGUUGGUUAAAAAAAACACAUUAUCAUGAUGGUGCACGGGAAUCCCCAUUUCUGUCUAGACUAUAACAUUUAUAAAAGUUUAGGAUUUGAUUUCUUGCACGGCACCCGUGCCCUAGAACAUGCAAACAAAAUGAAUACCAAUGUAAUAAACCAAUUCGUGCGUAUGUUUGAUGAAAAGAAUCAACUCCAUUGUAUUUCGCAAGCUGUGCUGUUAACCAAAUCCCCAACUUUGUCAAGCAUUAUUGAAUUAUUAAAGGCACCCUACUGCCUACAAAUCCUAGUUGAGCUCAUUGUCUCAAUGUUAAUCGUGUUUGACAGCAAUACAACUUUUAUCAAUAAAUAUCAAUUGUAAUGAUAAAAUUAAUUAAUUGAACAGUUUUCAGAAACAUGAAUUUUCAUCUUAUCUAAAUCAUAUCAUCAAAAUGUUCAUAAAUCUUUCAGGAAGCUUUUCCUGUCAAUGAUUUCAUGUACAUACAUUACAGCUCUGUUCUGGACUACUAAUUUGAGCAUCCAAUAAAUAUUUGGUAGAUUUAUGCAUGGAGCUAUUAUAGCUCUAUGAUAUAUUAUUCAUUUGCUUAGGGCCUUUUCUAGACAACUGGUCCUGUGUAGAAUACUGAUUGCUUUGAAUUUCUUUGUGUGAAUUUCAUUGCCUAACACCUGGGAAAUGAUAUCCUCUUCGACUAAUAGAAUUUUAAUGAUACUUCAUACUAUUUGUAUAAUUUACGAAUUAUAUCCUGUACAGAGUGUCUUCAUUGUAAUAUACAUGUAUGUCUACGCUUGAGUAAGCAGGAGUAAUCAUUUACUUUUAAUCAAUUUGUGCCAAAUUAAGGCACAAAUUUAGUAAUGAAUCCAGAUUUUAUUAAGAUCAUAGUCAUACAAGAGUUUAAGUUAAAGUCAUUGCAUUUGUUUCUUAAUGUACAUAGGGAUUGUUUUCGAAACACAUUUGUAGUAUAUCAAUUCUCAUGUUGAAAUUGUUGGUCAAUGAUACUUGAAUUAUUUCAUUAUAUGUUAAUGCUGACUUCUUAUUUUUCAUUUUUGCUUGAAGGGGUGUCUGUAAAAAAAGUAGCUUGUCACCGUGUUCAAUGACAAAUUGAGAUGCAUCAAUUGAUUUCCAGAUUUGUAAAGAUACAUUCAAUCUACCUUUAAUAAAAGGUUCUGAACUUCCUUGUUCAUACUCAAAAUUUCUCAGAUAAAAAUCUUCCUUAUACCCUGCCGCGGUAGCCAAAUUAUUUUUCCCACAGUAGUUCCUGACCCCAAUAUGCAUAUUCAUGACUUUCGUCUUCGGAAUAAGAGUACGCAUGCGCGUGGACAAAAUUGUGGUCGUUCUCGUUGUUGUCAUACCAUGAAUUGCCGGUACCCUUCUAGCGGGCCUUGGGGGCCUUGUCGACCUUAGCCCAGCUAGGCUUAGACUUAUAACUAGAUUCCAUUCUUAAACACUUAUCAGAUUGCCAUUAUAAUUAGAAUAACAAGACAAAGUGAUAGGCUAGCCUAGGCUAUGGCUUGCCUAGGCUAGGGCAUUAAAUUUUAUCUCAAAUCUGGACCUGUCUAAUGCAUGCAGCCGAAUAAUGCCAUGGUUAACCUAGAACUGGUUAAAGGUAAAAGACAGUAGAUCUAGUUGCAGCAAACAAUUAGACUUUCUUUUUCAUUACAAUGUCGUUUAAGGUUAAUUGUCCAUGGGCAUGCGUACUCUUAUUCCGAAGACGAAAGCCAUGAAUAUUAAUUGGGGAAAAUAAUUUCGCUGACAGCGAAGGAGUAUUCAAUAUAUUCCAGUUUAACUGAUCCGUGUCAUCUCUCUGUCGCAGUUCAUUUAUAGACUAAGCAUGCUAAGUAUGAUCAAUAUGGAAUUUUACUUGAAUUAUAAAUUCCUUUAAUAU